UACGUAGGGUGCAAGCGUUGUCCGGAAUUAUUGGGCGUAAAGAGCUCGUAGGCGGUCUGUCACGUCGGAUGUGAAAAUCCAGGGCUUAACCCUGGACCUGCAUUCGAUACGGGCAGACUAGAGUUCGGUAGGGGAGACUGGAAUUCCUGGUGUAGCGGUGAAAUGCGCAGAUAUCAGGAGGAACACCGAUGGCGAAGGCAGGUCUCUGGGCCACUACUGACGCUGAGAAGCGAAAGCAUGGGGAGCGAACAGG
rnacentral:rRNA from 1 species